CAGCAGCCGCGGUGAUACGUAGGUCCCGAGCGUUGUCCGGACUUAUUGGGCGUAAAGCGAGCGCAGGCGGUUAGAUAAGUCUGAAGUUAAAGGCUGUGGCUUAACCAUAGUACGCUUUGGAAACUGUUUAGCUUGAGUGCAAGAGGGGAGAGUGGAAUUCCAUGUGUAGCGGUGAAAUGCGUAGAUAUAUGGAGGAACACCGGUGGCGAAAGCGGCUCUCUGGCUUGUAACUGACGCUGAGGCUCGAAAGCGUGGGGAGCAAACAGGAUUAGAUACCCCAGUAGUCCCUGUCUCUUAUACA
rnacentral:rRNA from 1 species